ACGGGAUUAGAUGAUUGCAGUUAAAGCUCGUAGUUGGAUUUCGGAAGGUCUUUAGUGGUCCGCCCCUUCGGGGAGCGGGUCACUGGCCUCCUAUGUUCCUAACGGUCCUCAUCCGCGAGGGUGGGGAAUCAACCGCUAGGAUCGUUUACUUUGAGGAAAUUAGAGUGUUCAAAGCAGGCGUAACUCGCCUCCGAAUACGUUAGCAUGGGAUAAUGGAAUACGACUUCGGUCUUGUUUCGUUGGUUUCGCUUGGCUGAAGUAAUGAUUGAUAGGGACAGUUGGGGGCAUUAGUAUUUAGUUGUCAGAGGUGAAAUUCUAGGAUUUACUAAAGACUGACCAAUGCGAAAGCAUUUGCCAAGGAUGUUUUCAUUAAUCAAGAACGAAAGUAGGGGGAUCGAAGACGAUCAGAUACCGUCGUAGUCUCUACCGUAAACUAUGCCGACCAGGGAUCCGGAGAGUUUGCAUGGAUGACUCCCCGGGCACCUUGUGAGAAAUCAUAAGUGUUUGGGUUUUGGGGGGAGUAUGGUCGCAAGGCUGAAACUUAAAGGAAUUGACGGAAGGGCACCACCAGGAGUGGAACCUGCGGCUUAAUUUGACUCAACACGGGGAAACUUACGAGGUCAGGACACUGUGAGGAUUGACAGAUUGAAAGCUCUUUCUUGAUUCAGUGGGUGGUGGUGCAUGGCCGUUCUUAGUUGGUGGAGUGAUUUGUCUGGUUAAGUCCGUUAACGAACGAGACCUUAACGUGAAGGGACAAAUCACGCCACAACUAA
rnacentral:rRNA from 1 species